GUGGGAGGGGGCUUGCUCCCGAUAGCAGUGGGUCAGUCAAAAUUACUUAGACUGGCACACCGCAAUCGGGAGCAAGCCCCCUCCCAC
rnacentral:misc_RNA from 1 species